rnacentral:lncRNA from 1 species
UAAACCCUUCACAAAGUUCAUGGCGCUGUCUUCCGCCCGGACCUGUCCGCAGUGGUUCCCCCGGAGACGAGCAGCACUGAACGCACACAAGACUGCAGGAGACCCGCGGCCCCAUCCAGCUCCGUACACGGCGACUCCAUCCUUUGGUCACUCAGGCCAAACCUCGAAGUCAUCGUGGAUCCGUCUCACUCACAUCCUACACGCAUCCCUUCGACGAGUCCUUCCAGCGUCAGCGCCAGAAGGUGUGGAGAGCCGGCAGCUUCCCCUGCACAGCAGCCCCACGCCGCCCACCCGCGCCCCUGCCCCGGCUCAUCGCGAGGCUCCCAGGGCUCUCCCCGCCUCCACGCCAGCCGCCCAUACACUAUUUUCCGCGCAGUAGAACAUAAAUCCAGCACAUCCCUCCUCUGCUCAGAACCCUCAGUGACACGCCGUCUCCCGGAGGACCGGAUCCCCGCGAUGGCCGCUCGGCGGCGCCCUCGGCUGCGCCCGUCCGCAGACGCCGCACGGCUCCCCUCAGGCUCUCCGAGAGAAGAUAUCUGCCCGUCUUUUUUUAAAAAAAGGAAAAGAAGGGAAAACAUCUUCAAAUGUUAUUUCCUCAGCAAAGCCUUCCCUGCCCGAGACGGAGGAGCGCCUCCCCGCCGCGGCGGCUCUUCCCGCGGCCGCCGCGGGCCUUCGCUGCUUCACGUGGGCUUUUCUCUCUUUCCGCUGGACCGUGAGCGCGCCGAGCGGUUUCAUUUCUCCCUCCGCCGCCGUGUGCCCGUGGCCCACACCAACGUGGGGCCUCAUUUCUUUUGAACAGAGCAAAAAUGGCCCCGGAAAGCCCCCGAAGCCCUGCGGGAAGCGCCGCCCGAGGUGCCGCCGGGCCUGCUGGCUCCUCGGCCUGCGCGUUUGCGUGGCGUUCCCUCCUCGGGGAACUGUGGGGCCUAAUCCCGCCCGCCCUGUUCCUGCCACAGUGCCUGUUUCUUCCCUUACGGUCUUUUGGAAUUAGCAGUGUAUACUGUAUUGUUCUGCUUACAUUUUAAUGCCUGUCGUCCCGCUGGAAGGCGGCCCGGGGGCCGGCGCAGGAAGCUCUCAGUGACCCCGAGGGGACCGCCGAGGACCGCGUGCGGAGGCGCUGGGAAGGCGGAAACCGCCGUUUGACGCGAACAAAGGAAAAUCUGGCUGUAGACGCUUCCAGCUUCUUAAGAAGUGACAUUUCUUAGGAAGGGAGAAUAGACCUUUCUCCUGCUACCUUCCAGCUCACGGAGACUGGUGUGCCAAAGAGUUUGAUCUUGUUCAAAGAAAAAUGAAUUUCCCAGCCUCUGAGGGGACCCUGUGCCGCUCACGGGCAGACGUCCUGAGACAACGGCCCUUUGUUCAGAGGAGAGCCUUAAUGAGGUUAAGGAUUUACCAAGCGGGGCUGUCAGGAGCUGGCGCGGUGGAGGGGAGAAUAAGGCUGUUCUGCAUUAAAAUGAGCGGUGGUUUCGUUUGCCAGGGCUGCCACCCCGGAGUAAAGCAGACUGGGCGCCUUAAUCAACCGAGAUCUACUUUCUCACCGUUGGAGAGAAAUCCCGGGUUCUGAGACAGCUCUCCAUUCUCCAGUGCUUCUCAAGGUGUAUCGGUUUCCAUCCUAUGGAAGAGGCCAGUUUUGCAUCUGUCAGUAAAAUCAACUCAGCGUUCCUGAUUCCUAUGCGUGUUCUUCCUGUGGAUUCUCCUUUGAACCACUUGAUACUUCCUACUGGUUUCCUCAUUAAAUAACGAGUGAAUGGCUCAAUUUUGCCUUGAGCGGACACUGCCUAGGAGCGGGCCACUCAGAGAACUUUUUGCCUGUAGAGUGCGGAGAGCAAACCCAGCAGAGGUGAAAGGCUCUUCUUUCGAGGAACUGCCCCUAACUCCAACUGCUGAAAGGAUGGGCACACCUCUAACGCCCAGAUUUCUUCUUUUAAAAUCCUUAGAGCUUUCUAAACGCUCACCAUGGUCACUUAGGG